rnacentral:rRNA from 1 species
GCGAACGCUGGCGGCAGGCCUAACACAUGCAAGUCGAACGAACUCUUCGGAGUUAGUGGCGGGCGGGUGAGUAACACGUGGGAACGUGCCUUUUGGUUCGGAAUAACUCAGGGAAACUUGUGCUAAUACCGAAUGUGCCCUUCGGGGGAAAGAUUUAUCGCCAUUAGAGCGGCCCGCGUCUGAUUAGCUAGUUGGUGAGGUAACGGCUCACCAAGGCGACGAUCAGUAGCUGGUCUGAGAGGAUGACCAGCCACACUGGGACUGAGACACGGCCCAGACUCCUACGGGAGGCAGCAGUGGGGAAUCUUGCGCAAUGGGCGAAAGCCUGACGCAGCCAUGCCGCGUGAAUGAUGAAGGUCUUAGGAUUGUAAAAUUCUUUCACCGGGGACGAUAAUGACGGUACCCGGAGAAGAAGCCCCGGCUAACUUCGUG